rnacentral:rRNA from 1 species
UACAGAGGGUGCAAGCGUUGUUCGGAUUUACUGGGCGUAAAGCGUGCGUAGGCGGUAUUGAGAGUCAUAGGUGAAAUCCCCGGGCUUAACCCGGGAACUGCCCGUGAGACCUCAGUACUAGAGUGUGAGAGGGGAUAGUGGAAUUCCAAGUGUAGCGGUGAAAUGCGUAGAGAUUUGGAGGAACACCGGUGGCGAAGGCGACUAUCUGGCUCACAACUGACGCUCAGGCACGAAAGCAUGGGUAGCAAACAGG